UCGCGAAACCUUUGCAAUACACGAAAGUGUGACAGGGUCAUCCCGAGUGCCGACCGCUGAGGUUGGCUUUUACCCAGUCUAGAAAGCUGGGAGAAUAAGGAGAGGGCAAGUCUGGUGUCAGCCGCCGCGGUAAUACCAGCUCUCCGAGUGGUGUGGACGUUUAUUGGGCCUAAAGCAUCCGUAGCUGGCUGAUCAAGUCCCCCGUUAAACCCACCGAUUUAAUCGUUGGCUUGCGGGGGAUACUGUUCGGCUAGGGGACGAGAGAGGCAGACGGUAUUCCCGGGGUAGGGGUGAAAUCCUAUAAUCCCGAGAAGACCACCAGUGGCGAAGGCUGUCUGCUAGAACGCGCCCGACGGUGAGGGAUGAAAGCUGGGGGAGCGAACCGGAUUAGAUACCCGGGUAGUCCCAGCUGUAAACGAUGCAGACUAGGUGUUUGGACGGCCACGUGCCGUUCUAGUGCCGCAGGGAAGCUGUUAAGUCUGCCGCCUGGGGAGUACGAUCGCAAGAUUGAAACUUAAAGGAAUUGGCGGGGG
rnacentral:rRNA from 1 species